rnacentral:rRNA from 1 species
AGUGAACGCUGGCGGCGUGCUUAACACAUGCAAGUCGAACGAGAACGGAUUAUAGCUUGCUAUAAUUGUCAGCUAAGUGGCGCACGGGUGAGUAAUGUAUAGGUAAUAUGCCUCUUACUAAGGGAUAACAAAUGGAAACGUUUGCUAAUACCUUAUACUCCUUAUUAACAUAAGUUAAUAAGGGAAAGAUUUAUUGGUAAGAGAUUAGCCUGUAUUGUAUCAGUUAGUUGGUGGGGUAAUAGCUUACCAAGACUAUGACACAUAACUGGUUUGAGAGGAUGAUCAGUCACACUGGAACUGAGACACGGUCCAGACUCCUACGGGAGGCAGCAGUGGGGAGUAUUGCACAAUGGACGAAAGUCUGAUGCAGCAACGCCGCGUGGAGGAUGACACAUUUCGGUGCGUAAACUCCUUUUAUAUGAGAAGAUAAUGACGGUAUUAUAUGAAUAAGCACCGGCUAACUCCGUGCCAGCAGCCGCGGUAA